UCACGCAGAGCUUCUCAGAAUGCUGCGAUUGUUUCUCAUCCUAGCCUUCUGCUUCACUGCUGUGUUGUCUCAGGGAUGGAGAAGAAGGUGGUCUCCCUUGGGAAAUAAUGACUGGUGGAACAAUGACAACGGACCGUGGGGCAAUAAUAACGGAUGGUGGGGCAAUAAUAAUAACGGAUGGUGGGGCAAUAAUGACUGGUGGAACAAUAAUAACGGAUGGAACAAUAAUGGAUGGUGGAAUAAUUAAAUGGCAGGACAUUUCAAUAGAAGUUUAUGUGGAAAAGAAGAUGGGAAAUGUUAAUCAUGUUUUAAUCAUGAGAAUAACUAUUAAAAUACACUGUGAAUAUUUUGA